AAGGUUGGCUAAUCCUGGUCGGACAUCAGGAGGUUAGUGCAAUGGCAUAAGCCAGCUUGACUGCGAGCGUGACGGCGCGAGCAGGUGCGAAAGCAGGUCAUAGUGAUCCGGUGGUUCUGAAUGGAAGGGCCAUCGCUCAACGGAUAAAAGGUACUCCGGGGAUAACAGGCUGAUACCGCCCAAGAGUUCAUAUCGACGGCGGUGUUUGGCACCUCGAUGUCGGCUCAUCACAUCCUGGGGCUGAAGUAGGUCCCAAGGGUAUGGCUGUUCGCCAUUUAAAGUGGUACGCGAGCUGGGUUUAGAACGUCGUGAGACAGUUCGGUCCCUAUCUGCCGUGGGCGCUGGAGAACUGAGGGGGGCUGCUCCUAGUACGAGAGGACCGGAGUGGACGCAUCACUGGUGUUCGGGUUGUCAUGCCAAUGGCACUGCCCGGUAGCUAAAUGCGGAAGAGAUAAGUGCUGAAAGCAUCUAAGCACGAAACUUGCCCCGAGAUGAGUUCUCCCUGAGACUUAGAGUCUCCUGAAGGAACGUUGAAGACGACGACGUUGAUAGGCCGGGUGUGUAAGCGCAGCGAUGCGUUGAGCUAACCGGUACUAAUGAACCGUGAGGCUUAACCUUACAACGCCGAAG
rnacentral:rRNA from 1 species